GACAGAGGGGGCAAACGUUGUUCGGAAUUACUGGGCGUAAAGCGCGUGUAGGCGGCUAAGUAAGUCGGGCGUGAAAUCCCACGGCUCAACCGUGGAAGUGCACUCGAAACUGCGUAGCUAGAGUCCUGGAGAGGAAGGUGGAAUGCUUGGUGUAGAGGUGAAAUUCGUAGAUAUCAAGCGGAACACCGGUGGCGAAGGCGGCCUUCUGGACAGUGACUGACGCUGAGACGCGAAAGCGUGGGGAGCAAACAGG
rnacentral:rRNA from 1 species